rnacentral:rRNA from 1 species
GAGUUUGAUCAUGGCUCAGAACGUACGCUGGCGGCACGCCUAACACAUGCAAGUCGAACGAAGUAGCAAUACUUAGUGGCAGACGGGUGAGUAACAUGUAGGUAUCUGCCCUUUGGCCUGGAAUAACACGAGGAAACUUGUGCUAAUACCGGAUAAGUCUUUACGGAGAAAGCUUUAUGCACCAUUGGAUGAGCCUGCACUUGAUUAGUUUGUUGGUGGGGUAAUGGCCUACCAAGACUGUGAUCAAUAGCUGAUUUGAGAGGAUGAUCAGCCACAUUGGGACUGAGACACGGCCCAAACUCCUACGGGAGGCAGCAGUGGGGAAUCUUGCACAAUGGAGGAAACUCUGAUGCAGCGAUGCCGCGUGAGUGAAGAAGGCCCUUGGGUUGUAAAGCUCUUUCGUCGGGGAAGAAAAUGACUGUACCCGAAUAAGAAGGUCCGGCUAACUUCGUGCCAGCAGCCGCGGUAAUACGAAGGGACCUAGCGUAGUUCGGAAUUACUGGGCUUAAAGAGUUCGUAGGUGGUUGAAAAAGUUAGUGGUGAAAUCCCAGAGCUUAACUCUGGAACUGCCAUUAAAACUUUUCAGCUAGAGUAUGAUAGAGGAAAGCAGAAUUUCUAGUGUAGAGGUGAAAUUCGUAGAUAUUAGAAAGAAUACCAAUUGCGAAGGCAGCUUUCUGGAUCAUUACUGACACUGAGGAACGAAAGCAUGGGUAGCGAAGAGGAUUAGAUACCCUCGUAGUCCAUGCCGUAAACGAUGUGUGUUAGACGUUGGAAAUUUAUUUUCAGUGUCGC